rnacentral:rRNA from 1 species
UACAGAGGUCCCAAGCGUUGUUCGGAUUCAUUGGGUGUAAAGGGUGCGUAGGCGGCGCGGUAAGUCGGGUGUGAAAUCUCGGAGCUUAACUCCGAAACUGCAUUCGAUACUGCCGUGCUUGAGGACUGGAGAGGAGACUGGAAUUUACGGUGUAGCGGUGAAAUGCGUAGAUAUCGUAAGGAAGACCAGUGGCGAAGGCGGGUCUCUGGACAGUUCCUGACGCUGAGGCACGAAGGCCAGGGGAGCAAACGGG